UGUGCACCUUUUUCAAAAAAGGUGUGAAUUAUUAUACAGUUAAAAGUGAAAGGAUCAUAACAGCUAAAAGGAUUAUUGCAAAGAAUCAAACACUGAAAUUAUUUUUGAUGGCUUAUUAAUAAGCAACCACUUCUGACCUCUUCCAGUGGUGGUAUUAACAUUCUCCUAGACUCUGUCCGAUUUGACUGCCAAUCUGAUAAAAAUGGGAUGAAAAUGAUUAUUCUUAGUUUCGUAGUAGGUGAACAAUAAGUCUGAAUGAAGCAGCUAUAGACAAUUUAAUAUUGCUGUUCUUUCCGAGGACAGAAAAACAUAAGAAAAAAUAAAUAAAAGACAUAAAAUAAAGCAAAUAAUAGCAAUAAUAAGGAUCGCUGUCUGGUGCCCUUUUUAUAUGAUCUUUAUUAAAAAUAAAAAAUUCAGAAAACGUAAACAACUCCACCCUUUGUACCCCGUAUGGCCUCAUUCUGAUUAAUCUCCCACAGCUGUCAAUUAAAUGUGCUGAAAAGGAAAACUGAACCCACCUAAUGAUCUGAAAAAACAAGACAUGCGUAUGAUUGAGAGAACUAGACAUGAGUAGUUGGAACACCACCCCAGUCUUUCAGUUUGAAUUUUCGUCGAAACUCCAUUUCAAAAUGCUGUGCAGAAAUAUUUAUGAUGCAAUAUGCACGGCUGCGGCGGAAUACUUCUAAUCUGUGGAAGCACCUGCAGUGUUUCACCUACCACUAUUCAAGGGGGGCACCCCGCCCUACCAACCAGACCGCCGUGCCCCCAAGAGGAUCACAGCAUGUAGUAAUAGUUUAACAGUUAAUGUCAUUCGUUUUAUUGGAUCACGUCGUGAAGGAUUUCUGUCCCUGUGUUGUCACUACUCUUCUUUCUAUGGCCAAACAUGGCAAAAGCUGGACGAAAACACACUCAUCAUACUCUGUGUCACCAACGGUGACACUGACACACUGAGUUAGGUGCACUCGAACGGAGGUGAACACAUGCUCCUGACAGCGGACAGAAAGCCAUGCCGCUAAAACCUAGAAAGCACGCAAGGAUAUCUGUGGUUUUAAAAAGCGGCAAAUUUAGUUUUGAUGGCAGCACUUCAUCUCCUGCGAGCUAACUCUCCUACUCUUGGUACAUUUGGCGAAGAUAGAAGUAAACAAAAUAGACCAAGUGAUUCAUGCCCUGACUCUGACACACAGCUAAAGUCCAGUCUCCACCAAAUAAAAGUUUUUUACCUAGUUUCAAACCAUUAAAAUGAAUUUAAUGGUUUGAAACUGAAUUCCUUGGCUUUUAAACUGAAUUUGUUUGCUUUGAAAAUUGCUUUGCUAUGUAUUGAAAAUUCCAUUUGAUAACUUUCAUUUUCUAUUCCAAAAUUCAAUUCCAGUUCCAAAAUUCCGUUUUUUGUGUCACACAUCAAAGUCCUUGAAACCACAGAUUAAUUAAACACAGAAUUACUGAUUCACGGAUGUCAUUCACUAUUGCUGUGUUCAAAUUCAGAUGCGACUUUUAUGGCCAUACAGUGAAGUAAAAACGAAUGCUGUCAGAGAGGUGCUGAUUAUAUUGGUUCAGACACUUUUGGUUUGUUUUACAAGCCCUGCUACUGCAACACAUUGAGGGGCAGAGAAGAAAGAGUGCUUGGAGACCAGCUGCUUUACACCAGCUCUCGCCUCCGUAGUGGGAUCCUAUUCACGUGAUAGAAGAUACACUCUGCCUAGGGAUUUUGUCUUUAACUGUCUCUUUCAAGGAUAAUGCCAGUGAGCUAUUGCUGCAGGUAUUUACUCUUAAUUUUCUUAUCCCAUUGAUACUACUACUGGCUCAGUGCUUUCUUGUUUUAUUGUGUUUCUUAGAUGGAACUACUAAUGGUAUUAGUGAUGUCACUAACGGUGUGUGCUGUAUUCUUUCCCAAAUAAACUACUCCUGGACUGGUG